GCACAUUAUAUUGCAGGAAGAUUUUUUGAAACAAGAAACACCCCAAACUAUAUUCAAGACAGCAUGACUAAACAAAGCUUAAGAGGGUGUAUGUUCUGUGUCCAUCCCCGAUCAGCUGGGUCUUCUCACUAGCAUUGGUUGGCUGCAGCACAAUCGGAGUGUCACCAUCUGAAAAAAAGAAAGAAAAAUCACAGGUAAAAGAGGUCACAUAUGAUCAUCAAUAUGGAAUAAACAAGAGGUUACUCUGUCUAAUGUCAUGCCAUUUCACACUUCUAAUUGAACUUCCUGCUGAAAUGAAAAGUGUUUUGUACGCUCCAAGGACGUCCCAGCAAUCUGCCGUUAGCCUGCCCCUGCUGGCUGCACUUUUAUGACCUCAUUGAGCUGGCUCUGUAACACUGGUUUGAAGGGCAGCCCACUGUCCACUGACUUACCUUAUGCUGAAAAAAUAAGAUUCUAAGACCACAUGGGUGGAUUUUUAGAGACUACUUGAGCAGAAUAUGAUUUGGGCAUGACUUUUUGCACUGCACUAAUAUAAAUGCUAUAAAACAGGUGCAUCUACGCCAUCAUGGAGUUUCCGCAACGGACU